ACUAUUUUGGCAGAAAAGUGUAGUGGUUUUAGAAAUCAUAAAUAUAUAAUUUAUUUAUAUAGAUAGUA
rnacentral:tRNA from 1 species